GAUUAGCAAAUGGAUCCUUUGUGGUGGGUUAUGGAGUACACACACGUACUGAGCAGUACUGAGCUGUGGGGUCACCAUGGCUUGAAAUGCUGUUAACUUUUGUGGGGCUCAGUCCAGUGAGCCAUAUGGUAAAUCACAAACAUUUUGCUUUGGAUUAGUAUCAUUCAGGGGAAACACCAUGGAUCUGGGUCCAUGAAGGCAGUUUUCCUCAAGUGUUCCCAGGGAUAACUGUUUUUCUGAUGUGGUUUAGUAGGCGCCAAGGUGUUGGGGCUUAAAGCCCACUUUAUGGAAAUGGGAGGCUCCUCCCUAACUUGCUUCUGCGGCCAUAGGGCUGAGGGCAGGUGAAACUUGGGGGCAUCUGAACCCCAGGCCUCUGGAGCUGGGCCUGCAUUUAGGACGCUUGCCAAAAGACUUUGGAAAUAUCUGAAGCCCCUAGUGGGGGUGGAGGAUGUUUGUCAGUUGUAGGGCCAUUUAUGGUUCUGGACUAACUCACAGAUUUGGACUUGAUUUGGCUUGGAACACGAAAAAAUUA